rnacentral:lncRNA from 1 species
GUGCUGCCAAGCUCUGUGUUGCCAAGCUGUGUACCCUGGCCCAGGGAUGUGCCCAACCAGGGUAUCAUGUGCCAUUGAGGGGAUAGCAUUAGCUUCAAAACAGAGGAGCCAGCAGAAAAAAACAGAACAGUCAGAGAAGUUGAAGAAGACCUGAGGAUUUGUUUCCUGGAAUCUCAGAAAGGCAAGAAGGUGAUUAAUGAAGCUGCAAGGUGCAGACAAAUCAACCAGAAGUGAUCUGCUAAGACUUUGAUAUUGAAUCCUAGGACUUCCUGGGCCCAAAGGAACCUAUAUCCCUUCAUUACAUUUUUUCUACAGAAUGAGGCAUGUACCCAGGUGAGUACAGCAUCUUACAGGGCUACCAGAUUCUCUUUGAAAAAUCCCAAAUGAAGAGAUACAGUCUUGAGGCUUCCCCACAAAAAAACUCUCCUGGGACCUCCAAGAAGACAGAGCAAACUGUCCUGGGUCUUGCAGGGGAUGCUGAGUCACCCCGCUGCAGGAGGGCAGGUCUGUGCACGCCCUGCUGAGGUCCUGGGUUGCACAGAACACACCGAGUCACCCCACUGCAGACAGGCAGCCACCUGGUUCCACACUACAAAGACGCAGAGGACACCAGACCACCAGACCAAGGUACUGAGUCCCGCUGCUCCCGGCCCAGAGGUAGGGGCUUCUGAGCUGCCAUCCCACUGCUCCUGGUCCAGAGGAAGGGGCUUCCCGGUCACCAUCCCUCCUGCUGCUCCCAGCCCAGAGGAAAGGGCUUUUAGGCCACCUUCUGUCCUGCUGCUCCUGGCCCAGAGGAAGGGGCUUCCAGGCCACCAACCCUCCCACUGCUCCCAGCCCAGAGGUAGGGACUUCUGAGCCGCCAUCCCACUGCUCCUGGUCCAGAGGAAGGGGCUUCCCAGCCACCAUCCCUCUCGCUGCUCCCAGCCCACAGGAAAGGGCUUUUGGGUCGCCAUCCCUACUGCUGCUCCCAGCCCCUGUCCCACCUCUCCCAGCUCAGAGGACGUAAUCCAUGCAGGCGGCAACAGCCCCCCCCCCCAGUAAAAAUGAGAAAACAUGUAAAUAAGUCUCAAAACCAGACUUCCAGAUCACCUGCAGCAACCCCAAAGGGAAAUGAGAUGGAACACUCUGAUACUCAGCCACCUGAACCCACUGAACUGGCAACAAAAGGGGAUCUGGAAAAAAUGAAAUCAGAAAUAAUUUCUCAGAUAACAGGAGAAAGUGUGCCCCUAGUGCAAGACAUGAUUAAUAAAUCUAGAGAGGAGCUGAGGAACAUGAUGGAAUCCCAACAUAAGAAACAAAUGGAAUCCAUAAAACAGAUGCAAAUAGAUUUCCAGGACAUGAAAAACUCCAUUGAAAGUCUACACAGCAGAAUGAGCCAAUGUGAGGACAGAAUUUCAGAUAUAGAAGAUAAGAUUGCAAUUAAUGACCAGGAAAAGAAAAAUUGCUUCAAAAUUAUAAGGG